GUAUAGUGUAGUGGUUAUCACUCGGGAUUUUGAUUCGUUAAUACGCGCUCACUCGCCAAUUUCCCGAAACCCAGGUUCGAACCCUGGUAGCACCG